ensembl:lncRNA
CACGUGUAAAAGCCUCAUCAGCGCCGAGAUUUCAAUGCAAUUAGCGCAAUCUGGUGGAAACUCUCCCUAUCUGGCAACCCAGAUACUAAGAGACUGGAGCUAUGCGCUUGAACUUGACCGAGUGGAACUUCAGGGGUAAAGCGAUGGUAUUUACCCCCCACCUCACCCCACCCCCGUCUUCUCUUUUAUUCGGGAUAAGUCUUUAAGACUUGAUGUGAGUGCUCAUUUCCAUAACAUGUUGCCUAGCGCCAAUUAAAGCUCAGUGCACGACUUUUCUCCUGGAGCGACAGCUUGGUGAUGCUGAAAGCGCACUGAGGGUGAGUAUCCAAAUAUCCAAACCUAGUCUGCUCAACGCUAAGCAAAUAGUUUGUGAUGGGGUAUUUACCACGAGAUUCGAUUUUUUAAAAAUCUUGCUGUUAUUUUAUAUUAGCCUACCAAUCAAUGUCUUAUACAGGUUUUAUCUGUUUGUCUAUCUAUUUCUAUAAAAAGAAAGAAAGAAAUCAAAUUAGAAUUAGAAAUGUUUCAAGACUAACCUGGUUACUUCAAACAACAAAUUUGUUUUGUUUGCUUGUUUGUUUGUUUGUUUAUAGGCCCGUUGCAGACUGUAAUUUCCUUCAUUUCAGUUCUCCAACUGUCAAAAAUGCACAAUCUGAAAUACUGAAAAUAUGAGAUAAUAUAAUUAAUCUGAAUAAGUCCUAUCAAAUGUAUUUUUUUAUAAGUAAGAAGCAAAUUGAGGAAAAAAAUAGGAUGAUGGGUGUAGUUUUUCAGUAAUUCCAAAAAAAAAAAAAAUCUUGUGUUUUCAUUUGCCUUGUAACACGAGACAGAGGAAGUAACAUGUACAUGGAUGCCCAACUCUUAAUGUUUAUUGAACAUAUUACCUUGAAUGCAUGCUGAUGUUCAACAGCAGAAUGCUCAGACUGCCUUGAAGAGAGGCUCAUUUUUAAAAACAUUUUUCAAAGCAACAGUACCAAAGAGUGUAAGAAAGAUUAAAAUAGUCACUAUGAUACUGUAUACUCUUAAAAAAUGCAAUUGCUACAAACAACAAACGACUCGAUAUCUGUCUCAGUAACUCUUAUAAAUAUUAAUGGGAUUUAAAACUCUGCUACAUCCUUGGGAUCACUCAGAGGGUUUACCCAGCGUUUUAAGUAACACCUGUUGCAUAGUGCUUGCUGCUUUACACUGUGAAUUCACGCUUGAUGCUAAUUCUGGUCAUAUUUGCUGGUCUGGUGAUAGGCCUAUCUGAAAGAUGUGGAGCACGGCCUGAGAUGCUGAAAGUCAAGGCCAAAAACACAAAGCAAGAGUACAGCGUUUGGGUGAGUAUUACAGCCCCUGGGGCUUUAAUAUAUCUGGCAAUGUGACCUUGAGUUCCACUCUGACUUCAGUUAUGCACAGAACUACAUACAAACAUAACAAUGCAGGUUAACACAGUAGAAACCGAUAAAAAUAAGAAUCUCACCAAACUGCGUACUUGGCGCUAAUGGCACCAUCGUACUUCAUACUCAAGAGACUUAGAAGUAGAUUUGUUUUAUUUGAAGUACAGCAUUUUAAAUGAUCUGAGAAAGCAGCCGUCCUCUAUCAGAAAAACAAAAAUGAAAAAACCUCGGUGCAGGAUAGCAAACAUACAGGGGAUUACUAUGGCAACAGCAUUUGCCCUCGCUCGUUUGUGGCAAACUGUAAGGCUGGGGAAAGUCACAUGACUCGAGUCAGAGUGAAAUUCUUCAUGGCGGCGGCUGCUACGUUUAUUUCAUGGCUUCUGUUUGUGCUCAUCCAUAAAGAGACAUGGCGCACUCCUGCACUAGACCCAUAGGCUGCUUGUCAUUUCUGUCACACACUGCAAAUCUGUCAUGAUUUUCAAGUCAAGAUUUGCACUCAUUCUCAUUCUCAUGCUUAGGUUACGAUUUAGGGACUGCCUGUUCUGCUUGCAUUCACAUAUUUUGGUGAAUUGAGAGAUCAGUUUGAACACACACUGCAAGCCUAAACUGUAGGAAACUGAAUAAUCCAUAUGAGAUGCUUAUGAGAAUUCUUACAAGAUUUCAUGAUUCUUAUGAGACCUCUGUAGUCAUUUGUAGUUAGUUUGGUCUGUAUUAAUGACAUUAAUGAUAGUAAUAUUUUAAUGCCACAUGUUUAUUUGGAUGAGUUGUUAGUAUGACUAACUAAGUUAUGACUAUGAGAUGUAUAGAAGUAUAUCACCUGGGGUUGUGGUGACACGCUUUUACUCUCACUUUUCUUCCUUACUCACUUCUACGCUUUGCCACAUUAUGCCCUUAUCCAAUUUGUUAGUUUCCUUGCUGUUGGCAGAUAAGCCAGUGUGGAGGCCAUUUCUGUAAUCUAUAUUUUAAUUCUUUUGUCCAUCCCCCAAUCCCUUUACGAUAUUGCAUGGGGUGUUUAUAAGGUGUGCUCAUGUGGAAAGGCUGUAAGGGUGGCUUAGUCCCUCACCUUCCUAAUUCCCUUGCCUCCCUCUCCUCAUUCCUCUCGCCCAUCUUCCCUCCCUCCUUCCAUCUCCUCCACUUCAUCCUGAAGCUCUCUCCCUCCAAGCCACUCCAGACUCGCUCUCUUCUUUUGCCUCACAAUCUCAAGUCAGAGUUCAAUGGCACAAUUUUCCCUCCUUUUUCACUCCCCCACUACUCUAGUGGUUUUUUUUGCAAGAUGGGGGCAGGCACCUAGUCUGAACUUUAGCUGCAAUUCUCCUGGCACACAUGCAUUGUGAAACACAGAUUGAAAAAGAAAUGAGUACCUUUUUCCGUCUUCUUCUGCUGGCACAUAAAAAUCUCAGAGUUACUCUCUUACUCUUUCUCUCUCUGCUUUUGCACUAGUGCUUUCCUUUUGAACUAGAGUGGUCAAACAACGGUUUCACAUUUUGCAGUUUUUAAUAGCUAAUAUGUCUCUAGAUGCAGUUUAAAAAUCUUGUUGUGGUGUUUUAGAUGCACCCAUUAAUGAAUUAAAUACAUCUUUAUUUUUUUAUUUUAAAAUGUUUUACUUUAUUUUCAGCCUUCAAACCAAAGUACAUAGUAAUGACAAGACUUUAUUGUCUAUUGUCUUUAUUGUUGCACUGGCGAAGUAUGUCACAGCCCCAGCUAAGUAUUAUAGUUUGCAAAAAUAAAAUAAAAUAAAAAUUAAAAAUAAAAUUACGCCACAAUUCUUGCAACCUUGAGGUUACAAUACCCCUAUAUCACUAAUGCAGGGCUCUGAAGAAAGCAUAUAAAAAUCUUUAUGAAGUCCUGAUGUGAUGGUGUGUUUUUCCCACUUUUGGGAAUUUCACUGAUUCCUCUAAAGCAGUGAUACUCACAGUGGGGUCUGGGGGCACCCAGAGGUCUGCAAAGCAUAGCUGUGAUUUUAUUUUGUUACAGUGAUGGAAAUGACAACCCACCAGUGUCCAUUAUAUUUUUUAAUAGUUAUUUUCAUUUUACGUUACAUUUAUAUUUACAGCAUAUUAUCAUAGCAUGAAAUACUCUGUAGUCGCCAUCAAAACAUCCAUACUAGUUAGGGCAGGUUAGUAGUAUUUCACUGGUCACAUGAAUUGAAAAAACACAGUUGGUUUCAAUUCAUGUGAAUUGAAAUACUGUUACUAGAAAUUUCAGGAAUUAAAAAACUCCAAUAAAUAGCCAAAAUAUAUUUGUGUAUUAAUAUUUAGGGUACACACUUAAAUAAUUAACCUAAUAUUUCAAUACUGAUAUUAUGUUGAUAAGUUUAUGUCGACAGAGUCUGUCUAAUUUAUUUUUAUGGUUCCAGGGGUUCCUGGAUGCAAAAUGUUUGAGAAUCCCUUCAAGGUCCAAGACCUACAUUCUUAUGCAGUACUAUUGUGAUAUUUGCUAUUACAUUCAAUGUCACAUUGCACUUUUUGGUAGGCCACAUUUCGCAAUUCAAAGUACAUAUUGAGACGUUGCUGUAGUAUUGAUCCACUUUUGUAAUGGAAGAAUAUGUUGUGAUCCAUUCUGCAGUGUAGCUGACAAGACUCUUGUAAAAUGGCCAGACAUCCUAAUUCUGUCACAUUUGUCAGAUGGCGACAGGAAUUCUCCUUCUUCAUCCUAUUUCUUGAGGAAAUGGAGGAGAACGUUAGCGGUACAGAUCCAUUGAUCACCUACAAUAUUCUAACGCAUUAGUCACUGCAAAAGUGAAAGCUGAGGGCAGAAGAGCACGAACUUCAGCACACAGCAGGCUUCAGCUCAGAGUGAGACCUAUCAUGAAAAGAUGGCUUUCCAUCAUGGAGAGAAAGAAAUCUCUCUCUCUUUUCACUUUUAGGACAGAGAAACAGUCUGUGACAUUGGCCUAGUUCUAACCCAGCUUUGCCCAGAGGAAGAAUUGAAUUGAGGAAUCAGAGAGAGAGGAUCAGAGGGGACUCGGUUGCCUGUGGCUAUCUCCCCCCACUCUAUAGCAUCUAACUACCUUUCAGCCUCAGCCUCUUCUCUCCCUUCUUCUGCCUCAAACAUCUGAGCAGCAUGCCUCAUAUUAGUUCAACAAAUCGAACGCAGAGUGUACACAGAUCAAUCAAAAGCAGCAUUUUUGAAGCAAUUAAAGUGAGAGAGAAGAGGCUGCAUAGCUAAACAAAUUCUAUAUAAAAAGGAGAAUCUAUAAAAUUGAGUGUUUUUGAAAUGCUGUCUGUACAAAAGUACAGUUGCUGCAUAUAAGUGCAAUAAACUGUGCCUCGUUAUGUGUAAUGCUCUAGCUGUAGUCAUGUAUCAGGAAUUAACUGUUCAGUGUAAAAUAACAUUAAGAGCAGUUGUGUUGUGUGACGUAUUGAGGAUUCUUGGGGGUUUUGUUGAGAGAAGAGGCGUAUUAUCUUGUAGUUCAUGUCCUCAUUUUGUACAUCACUCCCUAGUUUACAUGUCAGAAGGAGAGAACAUCCUAGCAGUUUCUUUCCACCAGAAAUAUUGUUUGCCUAAAAAUAGAGAGGGAAAAAUUCUCAAGAUAUUUAUGGCUGAGGUGCCUGUGCAUGGCUUUCUCGGUAAGUUGAUUUAAAGUAUAGCUCUUGCAUUAUACAGCUUGAAAGCAAAUAAAUCUUUUUAAAUGAAUGCACUGAUUGGCUCGCAGGCAAAUCUAGCGAGUGGCUGCUGCAUGCGGAGUGAGCGAAUGCUGACAUAAAUUAAAGCCUGCAUAUUUCUCCUUUCUUGCUUAAGAUAAAGGUUUAAAUAAUGUCUUUUAUUCGUUAAAGGGUAGGACAAAAACCCAUUUUCCUCGGAAAAAGCUAGCCAUUUUAGGCUGAAAAACAUCUCCAGUGGCUGAAGAGGCAGUUGAUUUUCUCAGGAAGAGAAAGGCCCAGGCAGGCCUCUCUGACAGCGCCAUGCAACACGCUGCUUCAAUAGCGAGGUGUAUUUCUGAAGAUGGAAGGGGUGGGUGGGGGGCCAAAGAGUGAGGGAGGAGGGGGAGGAUGAGGGAAGCGCUGUGAAAAGGCAGCAGGCUGCAGCGUGAAUGGGGGCAGCGGGGAGGGGGGCGACGGGCUCCGCUUCUUCAUUGGCCGAAUGCAACAGCCGCAGCGGCUGUGAAAAGAGGUCUCCCCUUUUUCCCACGACCCGGCAAAUGGGCCCAAACAGUGGCCCAGGCCCGUCAGGGUCAAGUCACAGCGCUAAUAUAUACACUGGGCUUGUGUGCGCACAAUGCGGACACACAGCUCAUUUAUUCGGUGUGUGCAGACAGACAUGUGCACACACAGCCACCUCCAGACCGAGACAGGGAGGGGGCAAGCAAGGACCCUGACACUAAUUUUGAUCACAUUGAAGCCAUUGUCUAGGUCUAUUCCAGUUCUAGAUUUUGUAAAUUAACAAGCAUUUGGUAGGAGUGGGACACACACACACACACACACACACACACACACACACACCAAACACACACAGUCUGAUGCCUACCAUCUAGCCUUGCAAUGUUUUUUUAAUAAAUAUGUAGCCACUUCUCAUAGGUUUUAUACUGAGGAGGCUGAAAUGAAAAGUAUAUUGAAAAAAAACCCCACUUUAAUUAUAGUAUUUGCUAUUACAAAUUAAAUUAUUGUAAGCCUCAAAUGCAAAAUCAGCAUUAAAUACUCAAAUGAAAAUACAACAAUUCAUAAUCUAAUAAUUAUAUAAUAAAAAGAGUAAUACAAAUUACAUGCAUUUGCUUUGAAUGCACAUAGCCAGAUCCCCUUAGCUUUGUUGCCUUGAAGACUAGAGGGCUUGGAUGUGAAGUCGUUGGACUGUCAAGGCCUUGGAAGGAACUUGACUGUGAGUCCUGUGUGUGUGUGUGUGUGUGUGGCUCUGCAGAAUUACGCAUGUCUCCUCUAAGACUGAAGUGCAGCAGAGUUUAGAGCGCCUGCUUUGACUGAAGCGUGAAAGACAGCUACUUUAGACAAUGGCGAGGAGAGGGGACGGCAAGAGCACAUAGCAACUCUCCUAGCAACUCCUGCACAGACAGGAAUUUAGAUGAGACCUCUGCUCUGUCUAUAGUAGUCUAGGAGUAUAAUAAAAGGCAAGUAUAAAACAACCAAGGCUUUCUGCUUUCUAUAGAAAAGUCUGACAGCUAAGUAGUGGAAGACAUAUCUGUAUAUGAUAUCCAUGAUACAAAUCAUUGCUUUAUUUUCAUCAUAUUAUGGUUAUAGUGGGUGCAGCACAAGUAUUGAUAAUUUUAUAACAUUUGAGAACAAUUUAUAGAUAUUGUAAACACUCAAGUGGCAUCCUUUGUUUUGCUAAUAUGGGUAAUGUGCGCUGUGAUUGCAUGCUUUAUUAUGUUUAUUAUUAUAAAGAUUACGAGGAACACGUCCAGCCAAAUACAUGUUUUUACAACCUCGCAGUCCAUUAGGGAACACAAACCUAACAUUCCCUUCACGAUAAUGGGUGCCAUCUUGUUAAAGCAGGUCAUAUACACUUCGGCGCUGUGUAUAACUCCGUCCACACCACCCCUACCCACCCACCUCGUCCAGUUUACACCCUUUUAUGGCACAUUUGUCCCAUAGUAAGCCUCAUUCUUUUGGUAAACAAGCACCAGUGCACCAGCCGUCUUCCUCUCUGCUUUCUUUCUCCUGUUCAAAGGCUCCUGGAGUGCAGCGAGACAAAGGGGGAGACUCACUUAAUUAGCUGGGCGAGAAGAUGCAUUGUGGCAAUUACCCAGCACAAUGAGGGAAAACUCACGGCCUGUUAAUUUGGUGUGGGGCUAGAGAGUGGUUCCUCAGGCCCAGAAUAGCCCUUUGUUAGAUACAGCGGUCUUGUAAUAGAUCACAUAGUCUCCGAUUAAGGCUCGGAGAAUCUUACGGCAAGGUUUUAGAUGUACGUUAUGCAUCUAAAGGUACAGCUGUGGGCAGUGUGUUUGUGUGUGUAUACAUAUAUAUACAUAUAUAUAUAUAUAUAUAUAUAUAAAAUAUAAAUAUAUAUAUAUACAUUUGCUAUUCCUUAACCAUUGCAAGAUAACCAUAAACAUGAAGCGCAACCUCAACCCUCAGCUCCACUUUGAAUCGAAACUGAAAAUGUAAAUUCCAAGGUCGAGAUGCUGAUGUACAGAGUCCAUGUUAAGUAAUUACAGAGCUCCUGUUCAUGUAGCUGCAAGGGGUCUCUACCCUAAGCAAAAUGUUAUACUUCCUCAACGCUGAUCUGUUUUUUUUUUUUUUUUUUGUGGGUUUGAGUGGGAGGGCGCUGGUGGUCGGAGCGAGAUGGCGCAUCGAGGAUGCCUCUCUCCCAGUAGGGCCCUCAGGCAGUCACUUUCAUGAAGUCAGAUAACAUUCUCCUCUCUUUUUCUGGAGAGUUCUUUAACCUUGAUGAGUGCGAUGAUGGGGUCGGAGAGGACGCGAGUAGUGGGCAGCGUGGUGGAGAUGGUAGCAGAGCUCGCGCUCACUCGCAGAAUCAAUACGAGAGCAGUGCGUGUUGGGAAGCUGAGCACUGAGGGAGGUGGGAGUAGGGAAGUCCCACUGAGGCCUGUAAUAAGUUGUCCACACCACUGCCUGUGUAUGCGUUCCUACAAAGACUGUCCUAUUAAAGAGCUACAGUAUGUGCUACAUUAAAAUAACUGCACAAAAUAGAGUAUUGGGGGUGGACUAUGUCAUGACACGAAGAUUUCUUAAAUAUAUGCAAUGUAUCAUGACAUAUAAGCUUGCUAAGAAAUAUGCAAAAAAUAGUUUUGCUCGAAAAACCUUAUGCUACAAAAAUAUUUCAGACUCAAAAGGAGAGAAAAUAAUACAUUCAGUAUAAAAUUAUAACAUUUUACAAUUUUAAAGAUUGAGGGUAAAAUUUCAAUAUAUAAUCUGAUGCAUCCAGUCACAUUUUCUGAAAUAUACUAAAGCUACCUAGCAUAUCUCUGAAAAGUUUACAUGACAUAAAUAAUCAUGACAUCAAUAUUAUAUUGUAUUAUACCACAGCAAAGUUGAAUUUUUGAAUCAGAAGCUGUGGAUUGAUUUUCUAUAACAGCAGCUUUGACACUAGUUCUGGCUGUAACGUAAAUGGUUUAUAUUAGUGCACUCGUUCUAACACAUUAUCAUUUCUAUAAUAACUGCUCGGUCACAGGCACGUGUAUGGAAGAGGACUUUGCGCUUUCUGGUUUCUCAGUAACAUGACAACAUGACUUUUUUUUUUUUUUUGGUCGUAUCAACUUCAAGAGAGUGAAACGAGAGUUGGUUGAAGAACAUAACAUAAAAAUGUCAAUCAUUAAUAAAUUAAAAAUGAUCAUCAAAUCACUGUGGUGUACAAGGAAUAACACAGCUCGGACCAUGCUUUUGUAGGAAAAUAAUCCUCCACUUUACAUUGGGCCAUGUCACACCUACCAUGACAUGGAUUAUUUUCCUAAAACAGCACACCCAUCGUGCAUUAUCACUUACAUUCUGCUCACUCCUAAAUAGCAUGUAAUUGCUAUUUUCUAUGAGCAAAAAUAUCAUCAAACAAAUGCAAGACAUUCUUUAAUUGUGACACAUUAUUAGUUCACAGAACGACAAUGCAAUUGCAGUGUGUAGCCAUAUAAACUCAAUAUGAUAUUUUUAUCCAUGUUGUGCAGCCCUAACUGGGGUUCUUAGACUGCAUGCCUUUAUUUCUGUCUUCACUAAGAGACCUGCUCCUCAUUUUUAUUUAGUUUGUUUUGUUUAAAUGUCUGCAUUUAACCACUCUGAUUGAACGAGCAUAUAACCAUUAAACUUGAGAGCCACACGCAAAUAAAACGUCAUGUUUCACCCAGCCACACUGCACUGCUUCAGUUUUCACUUUCAAGGUUGGAGGAACCUGAUCUCACAAAGCAUUUGUACAAGUUUGAAUGAGUGAUGGUGAAGUGGUUGGAUUUCAUUUGAUUUAAUAUGAUUGAAAGUCCUAAGAUACAGUACAGACGCUAACCCACCUCUAACCCCAACCUAUACCUUCAUGAACUGUUACAGAUUUCUUUUGUUAUUAGUAGUUAAUAGUUUAUUCUUAAUUUUAAAUUCCCUUUUCUAUACACAGCCGUGUGGUCUGUUUCAGACAUGUCACAUCCAUAAUGCAAACAUGUUGUAUUCAUCCACCUCUGUACUAUAUAACAAAACAAGUAGCUACUUUUACACACCAUGGUUUCUGCAAAGGAUUCUAAAAUUUGUGUUUAUUGUAAAGUCUUCCAAAACUUGAUGUCAUAGACUUAAUGUUGAUAAAUCACUACCUGUAUUAUGUAUAUGAAUGUCUGACUUUUAAAUAUUGGUCUGCAUUCUCCCUGAAAGGACAUGCAGAUUCUAAGCUUGUGUAGGCAGUGAAACACUUUGUAAGUCAAUAUGACUUCCUGUGCCGUCCACUUUGGUAUAUUUCUUUGUCUUGUUUGGUAAAGUAUUAGCUCCCAUUAUUGAAUAAACAUCUAGGUUUGUAAUAUUGUGCAUACACAUGUAGUCAAAACCAUUUAAGUUCAUGAGGCCAGUCCUGAACUGUAUGUCUUUAGUCUGUCUACUCUUGCUUUCACAUAUUUUCCUGUCCAUCUUGUCUAUUUAGGCCUGCUUUCUUUCUCAUUCUUUCAUCAUCACAUCCCUCCUCUAAUCCCAUGUUAAACCCUUAAGUCUGUUACUCUCUCCUCUCUCUCUCUCUCUCUCUCUCUCUCUCUCUCCCCAUCUCACUCAGUCCUCCUUACCCAUAUUACCCAUUUCUCCUUUCUCCUGCUUAGGGCUCUUUACUCCUUCCCAACUUAGCUAAUUGAGUUGGUGAGAAGUUAACCGCCCCCCUCAUUGGCAGGGAAGCUUGCUAGCCCUCCCUCACAGGAGUGUCACAUUGUCAGGUCCCUUUCGCCCCGGUGUAAUCCCCUCCACUGGGACAAUGGAACAGCCCACAGGCCACUGAGAUACAUUAUCCCCCCCUGACCAGAGAGCUCCCGGAUCAUCGAGUCCUGCUUCAUCCAGCUCCACUCACGGCUUCAAAGCUCCAGGCUGAGUCUGUGCACCUCGUUACUUAUUCAUGUGGGCCUGGGAGAGGCGAGAGGGUCCACGGAGAUGAAAUGGCAGCGCUGAGGAGAUGCGGAGAGCCGAACAGCUCCCUGGUGGGCUCCAGCGGCAAGUUCGGCGAGAAUGAGCCACCGCCUGCCCUGCUCUGAUCUCCAGCAUCUACAUCAAACAUCUUGUCCCAAUAACACGGCCUAUUAGUAGCGAUGACCACAGCUGGGCUUCGCUGCUGCACACCUGCUGUAGGGCUUUUGGUUUGAUAGGGUUGAACGUUCACACUUCUCGUUUCUGUGAUUCCAGCUGAGAUUUUAAGCUUAUAUUUAAGGUCUUUAUAUUGAAUCCUAGUCUUACGAUUGAGACAGUAAAGUCUCACACAGUCGCUGGAUAAUAUAUAACCGCAGUAAUAAUGAGUGUUAAUAUGCAGAAUGAGCUGUGUAACAUGAGGGUGAAGAAGUGCUGUGGGUUGUGCUGAAACCAGGGGUGUGGCUUCAGCUUCAUGUCAAUCAGAAGCAGAAAAGAAGGUUGCGUUGCCAUGGGAACAGAUGCUGAGUGUUAACCAGAAAGGAAACAAAGUAGUGCUCAUAAAAACCUCAUAAAAAGCAGGUUGAAUUGGUGUGUGUGUGCAUAUGUGUGUGUGUGUGUGUGUGUGUGUGUGUGUGUGUGUGUGUGUGUGUGCUUCCAACUUGUCGCUAUAGAGAAUAUUAAAUGAACCUGUCUUUUCUUAGUUGAGUGUAUACCACAUAACUGUUCAAUCAGUGAAAGACUUUGCAAGAUUUUGUAAGAUCAGUAAAAUCACAUGCUUUAAUAAUACUGUUGUAAAGCUCGCAGUGUUACUUGGAUAGUCCACUUUGCGAGGACAUUUGUUCAGAAGUUGACGAAUAACCAUGGCAGUCUUUAUGCAGUGGUAAUUAAAUUAUCUGCAUACUGUGUAUUGUUCUAUGUAUCCUCUCUGAAACCUUUAGCCCAUGAGUGAAAGCUCACAUUUUUAAUAUAUUCUAACUCUGUCUGAUGGUCCUUGUGCCCAGAGGCUGCAGGAAGGACCCCCCCCCCCCCCCCCCAUGCCAAACUAUAAUUAUUAGCUCUGCUUUUGUGAAGAGAAAGCAUGAAUCUGCUUGGUAUUGUGUGUUAGCAUUCAUGUCCCCAUCAGUUCUAUCCUGCAUUUUCUUUCCCCUUCACUUCAGUUUUCUUUCUCAUUCCAAACUCCAUCCCAAGACUCAAGGACAGGGAAAUGGAGCGAAGUGACAUGAAUCUUGUGGUAGUCAGACCUUAUUUGCCUGAUUUCAACCAUGCUUUCAUUCCCUGUUUUCUUUCUUUCCUUGCCUGCUUGUAUGAUCAAUGUAUUGCAUGCAGUUCUACUGCCUUUUAUACAUACUAACUAUGGAAAUAUUUGAUAUGUAUUUAAAUAGCCUGCUCAAAUGCAAGCUUUACCACCUACAUUUUGGAUUUUUGGUUUCCUUUUUUGCCCCCUGCCUCCAUGCCUCUUUAGCUCCAUGCUGGGCUGCUUCAAUAAUAUUUAUAGCUCAAUCUUUAUCUCUCCAGCCUCUCUUUUCUUUUCAUUUUUCCCCCCAAGUCCAGUGCCAUGGGGCAAACCCUCCUACCCUCAUUUCCCUCCAACCCCCUCUGUGUUGCCCCCAACCCCCCACCCCGCCUUCUCUCUUUCUUUGCCUUUCACCUCUCAAGCCUCCCUCCAUCCAUUCUGCCGCAUGGACACAAUGCUGGCUCUUUCUCACGCAGCCGGCCGACCGCAGCCCUGAACUAACAGUAUCACUGGGGCUGUCUCAAUGCCGCCGAGCACCAUUGUGCGCAGCCAGAGGGGAGUUAACACCCACGUCUGAGCCCAAUGAAUAGUAUUAUUGUGUCUGAGACACAACCCCAGUUCCACCCCAUGCCCAUCUGAGCUGCGCUGCCCCCUUUUCCCCCAACACCGAACCACUUGCUACAACUUAUCAAAAUUAUUUACUUCUUUUUUUCAUCUUUUUUUAUUUUUAAUUUACCAGUUUCUGGGGUUUUUUUUAUGCUAGGAGAGGGAGGAAUGCUUUUAAGCACAUAAUUGACCCUGAAGUCUAUCAAACUAUCCCUCUCAAUCAUUUGCAUGAUAGCAGGCCUCUGAAAUAAUUGAAAUAAUUUUGCGCACAGCCUAAAAGAAGAAGGAAUUUGUUUCAGAAAUAUAGUCUUUUUAUAUUCUAUUUACAACACACAAUAUUUUUGGCCAAAACUCUUUUUACUGCAAGCAAAGAAACAUCAGAGGUAGUGGCAGUAAGUGCACUUGGCAGGCUGUUUCUUUCAGUCUGACAUCCUAAACUCAAAAAAUCUUCAACUUCAGCAUGUUAAAAAUCUGAGGUCAGAAAGUUCACCUUACAAACUGUGAGAAGAUGCCAAAACAUCCACCUUACACAUCUUUCUGAUCAAAGUCACGGAUUGACACUCAGAUUGAAAGUUAAGCUGAACUUGUUUUUUUUUUUUUUGUUCCCCCCUAUCUGUUGUUGUUUGCUGGCAGGAGGCAGAGAACGAGCCGAGAGUGGGAGUAGGAAUAUGGGAUGAUGGAGGACUGAACUGAGAGCAGGUGAACACAGCUGUGGACCGCCGCCGGCUCUCUUCUUCCUCUCCUCCCUCUCUUCUUCCUCUCCUCAUGAGGCUCCGGCUCUGUGUCUCGGGGUCUCGGGGAGACAGCAGGGGCCGGCCAGGCUUCAACGGAGUGGGCAGCAGAGGCGGGCAGUUGCACCCACCGGGCACAGGCUCCUCAGCAGAGCAAUCAAUACGGAGGGAAGAGGCUGCCAGGGGUCGGGCGACGCAGCCCCGGGCCAUGGUGCCAAGGGAUCACAAGCGCUCAUCUCUCCCUUUACCAGUCAACUUGCAUCAGCCAAAGGCGGACCAUGUGUGAGAGCAAGAGUGUGUAUGUGUGUGUGUGGUUCUGCUGGAGGGACCUUCAGUCCCAACACCACUUGAUAAAACUUUGUCUGCGGGAGAAUGAACAGAAAAAGAGUGUCAAAGGUCUUUUUCCCUCUCCUCGAUUCCUUUUUUACUGUGAGUGCACAUUCCCAUCGACUGUUUGAAUGAGGGCUUGACGUACAAUCCCUCUUUCAGGCCCUCCUCCAAGCCUCUACAUCAGAUGAGCUGGCAAGAGAGGACAACUUGAACUUUUGUCUUUUUUGGACGACAUUUUUUCGCCUUUUCUGUUGUAGAUUAAAUUAGAUGAUUUUUUCAAAAUCCUCGCCACUGUUUGAGAGCUUCUAAAAAGGCUUUGGUUUUAAUCCACAUGAAGAGGCUUGGCACUCUUUUCUACAUACUUCAAUACUUCUGGACCUCCACAGUACCAGGUUUUAAUAAGAUGCCAUUCAGACGGAGUGCAAAGUUGGAGCUGAGCUCCAAACUAGGACCAAAAUGACUCAAUAAACUUUCCCAGUGUUUGUCACACACUGUUUUCAGUCAUUCCCUGAUCCAGAGCUGAUAAGGAAAGCUCCAUUUCCUUCCAUGAGACACAACGAACAUAGGUGAAUGGAGUGUGUAUGUUGCUAAAGGUAGUGCCAUGUCCCCAUGGAUUCUUUAAGGAAUGAAGUUUGCCAGGAGAUGAUGGAGUCUAAUCCUCUGAAAUGGUAAGCGCACCCCUGUUCUUCAUCUGUUUUAAUCAUUGGUUACAAUUCAGUCAGUAUCUUCUGCACAGAAUGAUGUGUAAAUUCCAGAUACACUGCCUGUGUGCUUAGUUAAAUUGCUAUAUUUCAUCAAGGAGCAGCUGUGGGAGAAAGCCAGGCUUCCCCUUGGGUUCACAAAAUCAUCAAACUCACACAAAAACCGCAAUAAAGCACUGAGCACAGUGUCCUUUCCUUUGUUUAACAUCUGCGUUUGUCAUGUUUGGGUAAUUUUAUUUGUAACCUAGCUAUAAUCAGCAUAUUAUAUAAAGUGCUGUUAGUGUACUGGGUACAAACCCCCACAGUAAAUUACGCACAAGAAUGCCAGCAUAGCAUCUACACACAUGCCAGGCAGUGUCUGAGCUUGGCAGCGCCACUGACAAAAUGGCCGCCACCAUCUGCCAGCUGUCCCUUUACCCAAGAUGGCGCCACUCUGAACACCAGCCAUCUGCUUAAUCAGUGCCCGCAUGUAAAUCGUCUAUAAUUGUAUUCGCAUAUUCGCCCAACUGUUACUGUACUGAGCCACACACAUACAUACACACACACACACACACACACACACACACACACACACAAAUCUUUGUGAGCAGCUUUUGAGCACUUUGGAGCAUGUACCUGCCACUCAUGUCUUUUGUACUAUUUUACAAUUUAUUCGUCCUUAUGUUAAGCCACGUUAGCAUUCUGUUGCUUUAAAUGAGAGAAACGUGGCUUUUCCAGUCACAAAGCACCUGACGACUGUACCAUCUGUGACAUCUGUGCCUGGGCUAGUCGAACUAGCCGGUGCUACUCAAAUCCCUCUGUCGCAGGGCCCAACUCCACACAGCCCCACAUAAUGACCUCAUUAGCAUGCGUAGCAGUCGCCACCAUAGGCCUUGGUGCGCUGCUGCAUCGUGGGACCCAGCAAUGCUCGCCCUUCACACACACACUCUCACCGGGCAACAUUGUGUUCCUCCAUACAAUACAGCGCUUUACAUGUGUAUUACUGUUCUGCAGAUUGGGCAAUCAGGGACAUGAUCCCUAGCAGUUUAAGCAGAUCAACUGGCAUCUACAAUUAUGAGUUGCAGUUAUGUACUAUGAGUUUGUGGAAACAUUUCAGUCAAGGAUAAAUGGUUUUGAAUUGCUGUUGGAAUAACAGUAAAGGAUAUUUAAUAAGAACAAGCAUGGAGUUUUAUAAAAAUAUUUGUUCUUUCACCUUGCAUUUUGUGGUUCCUCCGCUUUCUGGUUCCGCAUUGAUACUGCAUUAACUUCAUACUGAGACUGUUUUCACAGGACUGCUGUACAGAAGAGAUCAUUUAUAAGCCUUAACGCCUACAUUUCGAGCAGUCUCACUCUCCUGAUUGAGAAUUCUCGUCAGUGAAAUUGAUGUUUGACUUUUCAUUAAUAAUAUCAUUUUUAUGGCAGUUGGAUAACAUUUUCUUUUAUUAUGGAAUGGCAUGGAUUCCACAAAUUAACCAUUUAUACUUGAGAUUAUCUUUUCCUUUCAUUUUCUAUUGAUUUAUUUAGUGUGAACACACCAAACCUCUAAUGCUUUUAUUAGUAAUGUUAUUUUCAAUUCAGCCAAUGUCUUAAUGACAUAAUUAAACAUGUUAGAAAGUUGCCCUUUAAUUGCGAUGAUAAAUACAUUAACCUAGAAAAGCCGCAAUGUCACAUUAUUUUAAAAAAUAUUGUGAGGAUGUAGCUUAUUUAAUAAUAUUCCCAAGGCUUUAAAAGGGAAACAAUUGCAACUUUUUCUACAGUGUUUUAAAGACAAACUAAACUGGCUUAUGAUAAUUUUUUUAUAUAUAUAUAUUUGUCUAACUUGCAUAACUAAAAUUAAGAAUGGACACCUCACAAAAAUAAAAUGUAAUACAUCUUUAUUUUGAAAACAUUCUCCCACAGGAGUUUAGUAUGCUGAAAUGAUUCACAUGUGCAUUGUAUUUGUUUUCUCAGUUUAUAUUUAAGUUUAUAUAUUAAUAUAUUUUAAUCUUUGGAUAAAAGCGUCUGCUAAAUGACAAAAUGUAAUCUAGCUCUUUACUGUACAUAAUCCGUUACAGAACGAUUACUUUACAUCACUUACUCUCUUGUUUUUUGAAGCCGUGGGGGUUUAUGAGGCUGUGAUGGGGUUUUAAAAUUGGACUUUGCAGGGUGUGUAUGUCUGGUCUAGGCUAGUUCCAGUCAUGUAGAACUCGUCUGGGUCAAAUGGCUGGCUCUCAUCCCCUUAUUUACAUAUUUACAGCAGCUGGGGAGCCCAUAUGUUUUUAGUUUGGGUCGGACAAUGUUAUAUAUAGCCUUAUAAGCUAGCUAACACACCCCAUGGCCUCUUUAUGUGAACAGACACACACACACACACACACACACAUUACGCACAUUACGCACAUUUACCACAAAUCACUUGCCAUUCUUUAUGUCUUGAAAAUCCCCCCACCCCCACUGUCCUUUAUAAAGAAACAAAAAACAGAGAGCUUUUAUGCUAAUCAUGCUCGUAGCUAUGUGUGCAAGUACACUAGUGCAAUUAUGCAUAAUUCAACACAAAGCCAGGCAGCGAAGCAAAUACGGUAAAUUCUGUUAGCAAGCCCAAAGGGGGCAGAGUGUCAGGAGGCCUGAAAAUAAGGGGUUUCCGCACUUUUAGCAAGAUUCAGACAGAUCCUUGACAUUUUCUGUCCACAGGUGCAUAAAAAGAAACUUUGUGUGAGUUCCAAAAUAAUUUCAAUAGGAAAGGGUGAAGGAUUUUUAAAAGCCCUGGUCUGUGUGGAAGUUUGUUAGCAGCUGGAAAUCUUAAAAAUCAGAUUAUUUGUAUUAGCCACUGGAUUUUAAAUGUCCAUAUUGCACAAUAAUAAGUAUAAGCAUAGUAAGUACCCUUAUAUUGCAUAUAAGUAUUGAUCAGUAUUGUGUUGUGGUCUCUAAAUGGGGUCUGUGAAGCCUCGCCGGAGCUUUUUUAUUCUGUUACAGGAUCCACCAUUAUCAAAAGUCAUUAUAUUUCUUAUUGAGUUGUUAUAGUGAUUAAGUGAUUACCCUGUUUGAAUGGUUACAUGAAUUGAAUUAAUCCACACCUCAAUUACUCAGAUGAUAAAUAAUGUCAACUUGGACAUAAUGUGUUCUGUCAGUGGAAAGUUCAGGAAUAUAUGUAAAAAGAAAAAAUCUAGGGUUCCAAUAAAUAGCCAGAAUAUGACUGUGCACAUUUGAAUAAUGAGAUGAAUAUUUGAAUAAUUGGAAUUAUAAAAUAAAUCUGUGCUGAAAUUUAUUUUACAGAUGAAGGGAGUUUCUGAGAACCCCUAGUAUGCACUCACUGUCGAUUUUAUUAGGAACAGUUAUCUAAUCAGCCAAUCACAUGUUCACAUCAAAUAUCAGAAUCAAGAGUAGAAAUAGACCAGGUCAUUUUUUUUCUAAUCUUCAACUGUCCAGUUUGGGUGAAUCUGCUCAUGAUAGCCUCAGAUUGCUGUUCUUGACUGAUAGGAGUGGAACCCGAUGUGGUUUUCUGCUGUUGUAGCUCAUCUACCUCAAGUUUGAUGUUUUGUGCAUUCUGAGAUGAUUUUCUGCUCACCACGGUUGUAAAGAGUGAUUAUAUAAAUUACUUUAUCCUUCCUGAUAGCUCAAACCAAUUUGGCCAUUUUUCCCCGACCUCUCUUAACAACAAAGUGUCACUCACUCUGUAUUUUUGUUUUUCACACCAUUCUGUGUACACAGUGUUUUGCGUGAAAACCCCAGGAGAUCAGCAGUUUAAGAAAUACUCAAACCAGCUCAUCUGGCACUAACAACCAUACCAUGGUUAAAAUCACAGAGAUCAGAGUUUUUCCCUUCAUUCUGAUGUUUGAUGUUUGAACAUUAACUGAAGCUCUUGACCUGAUUUUUUUUGUAUUGUGCUGCUGCCACAUGAAUGGCUGAUUAAAUAACUGCAUAAAUGAGCAGAUGUACAGGUGUUCCAAAUAAAGUGCAUGGUGAUUGUAGUUGAAUAAAGGAUGUAUUGACACACAUAUUUGGUUUAAUGUAGAUUUACUAUAUUAGAUCAUUUCCAAAACAUGAAUCUGCUGUUUUGAGAAUUCUUAAUCCAGUUUUUUAUGCCAUGCUGCACUGCAGAAAUACCCCAUGAGUUCAGCGUCCCUUCAGUAUAAUGUGAGGCACGUAUAUUUAAUGUUUUGCAGUGUUUCAGUGCAAGGGGUUCCUUAGCUCUGAGUGCUCAGUGCUUUUAUUUGCUUGGAUAUUGAUUGAAUGUAGUUCACCCACAGAAGUAAUAGUUGCUGAAUGCAUUUAUUGCCAUUGCUCAAUUCGACCCUUGCUGCAUUUGCUUUUUCCUUUUUUUAUGCACCUGGUAUGACAAGUGAUUUGAUCUGCUGUGUGCUAGAUGUCUAAAACAGACCUGAAUGAGUAAAGCGUGUCAGUGCUGUGUGUGGAAUUGAUACGAAUCAUACAUUUUUGAACGGAUUAUUUGACAGGUGUGCCAAAUGGUGUUUCUUAUGAAAAAAGUCAGUUGUUGUUUGUUCACUCACUUGUGACAGUACACUUCUAAAAUGCUAAAGCUAUAAUAACUAUGAUGUGUAUGAACCAUGGGGUCUGGAAACAUGUAGAGCCUGCCACUCCAUCUGUUCAGUUUUCUAUUAAUAGACUUGUGUGUAUUUCUAAUAUGUGACCUGAAGUAAUUUCCUGUGUGGUUUGUAACCACAGUAUGGACUUAAUAGGAGAUAUUUAAUGCAGUUCUGCCUAAGAUGAACUAUCCAUUGUCUGGACGUUUUUCCAUUAUAAAAGAGCUUCAGUGGUAUGCAAGGAGAAAGAGGAUUUAAAAAAAAAAACCCCACAGUGCUGCCUCUUUAAAAAUCAGGACCUGUGUUCACUGGGGCUGGUUACAGUCUGAGGGAAAACAGUCAUACAUUUAUCCAAGUCACUGAUUGUGUCAUUUUAAAGCCCCCAAAACACAGGCAUUGCGCGGGAGCAUGUAGAGUGCAGAAUUAUGAAGCGGGGAGUGGAGUGUGUGAAGGAGAGAGGCGGAAAUGGGAACAGAGUGCUGUUUGUAUGAUUAAACUGUCGGCUUGGUGGCACAGGCCACGCUGAAGAGUCAGGUCUGAGAUUUAGCCAUAAUGAAAACACUCCGAACCCUCCUCUCGGCACAAUUCUCUUUACAACACAGUGCCUUAGCCUAACCCAGGUCUGUCCAUUUACAGAGAGGAGAGGGGUGCAGAUACACAGCCAAAAAAAAGACAAACACACACACACACACACACACACACACACACAUGCACAGAAAGAGCUAGUUGUUUGCCAGAGGCUGGUUUUGUUCACAUCCAGGCCAAGAGAAGCAGUCUGGGGGAGAAGUUGUCUACUUGAUGAGGAGCGAAUAUUUGCAUCCCAGUGUUCUAAAAAUGGCUGCUGCCUCUCUGUCAGCUGCAUAAACACCAGUCCCGCCUGCAGCGACGACCUACUCAUCAAGCGUGGGAAUAGACGAAAGUGUAAAAUAUUCUGUCAGGCACUGACUAGACAGCCCAGCUGCUCAUGAAGCCCCAUUGAACAGCAGGUGAAGAAGGACCCUAGGGGUCAAGGUCAAAGGGGGCUCCUGUCUGCUCCGUCCUAUGACAUGUCUGGUUGCACCCCCUGAUGUGUUUGCUCUUAUUUGUGUAAUCGUAAGUGAUUAUCGAUGACGCACACCGAACCCGUCCCUGUUGUUCUGGGACAAUUCUUGGCUAAUCCUCGUCGACUGUGGUAUCAGUGCAUGCUAUUCUCAGUAUUUUCUCUACAAGGUUAUGUAAUUUCAGCUGCAGUCUUCCAACGGACUACAGAGAGAGAGAGAAAUCUGAGUUCUGUAAGAGCCGGUUGACGUGCGGUUUUAUGGUUUGUUUUACGUUCGAUUUGUCUCUGCAUCGCUUUUAUUCGUGCCGUCCUCCCCUGCUGUGUAAACAAUGAUAUCCCUUUAAGAGGAGGGCCCUCUUUCUGUCACGACACGUCUCUCCAAAGGCACCAAGUUGGUGAAUAGCGGACGAAGACAGCGGCCCACCCUUUGGAAGAUUCCAUUAUUCACCUCAGCAUAUGCUUCAUUAGCUCGUCUGAAAGAGAGAUCCCCCUCUCGCAGCCAUGGCAGCGUCUCAAUGGAGCGUUCCCCCGUCUUUCACCCCAUCGUUUCUUCCCGGUCCCCCCUAAUCGUCUCAGCUCCUCCUGCUGAAAUCAAGCUUAGUGACGGCACUUUUGUGAGCGCCCCUCUCUCUCUCUUUCCCUUCUGCCUCAGCUCAUUCUCUCGCCUGGCACACACCCACCCACCCACCCACCGCUUAAGUCCCUAUCAGCAUGCCAACAAAAUGUCCGCCCAGCUGGGGCUGACACUCGCCCGCCUCUGGGGUUUCGCCUCCUCCUUGCCAAACCCACUCAAUCCCUUCAGUCUCUUUUCUCCCUUUCCGGUUUAUGCUAUUUAUUACUUUGAAUUAAUUACUUUAUUAUUUGGAAGGUGAUAUUGGCAGAGCUUAUUUUAUAGUACAACAACAGCAACCUCAACAACAACAACAACAACAUAUUAUUAUUAUUAUUAUUAUUAUUAUUAUUAUUACUACUACUACUACUACUACUACAACUACUAAUAUUAUUAUUAUUAUUAUUAUUAUUACUACUACUACUACAUCUAUUAUUAUUAUUAUUAUUAUUAUUAUUAUUAUUAUUAUUUGUCGAUGUGUUUUCAAUUCCUUCAGUUUUUUUUCUCUAUUAUUAUACUUACAUAAUUACUAAUCUACAUUUGUUGCAUGCUAAAUAUACAGCAGAGCUACUGAUUCAUCACUUCCCUUUCCUCUAAUUACAUAUUAACCUCAUUUUUCUCAUAUUCUCAUGUAUGAAGUAUUCUCGACAGUGCAAUCUGUCUGCCAACGUAGCACAAUUUGCAUGCAAGUGCAAGUGGUCACAGCACGAUCACCAGCUCCGUUGGAUUUUCACUGCUAGGAAUAAGAAGUGUGAAAGCUGCAUUUAUACAUUGUUAUAUAUAUAAAUGUAAAUAUAUCUGGGAAGCGUCUGGAUCGUUAAACCUCAAAUGAUCCAGAGUUGGAUGUAUAUACUGUAUGAGCUACACUGGACACAAUCCAGCUGUGUUUAUGGCCUUUGCUUAGCUUUUGCCGUUUUUGUCAGGCACGAUGUAGGCUACAAUGGGGUUGGAACCAUGGGUCCUUGUGUUUGUGUGUGUCAACAUAGCCUGCAGUGUGUGUGUGUGUGUGUGUGUGUGUGUGUGUGUGUGUGUGUGUGUGUGUGUGUGCGUGUGUGUGUGUGUGUGUGUGUGUGUGUGUGUGUGUGUGUGUGUGUAAGGGGAGGCAGAGAGCUGUGAGGUUUCCACUGUCGUCGGUCUGCCACUACCGUCUUAUGAGCUGAGAAUAUAGCUUUGUGACUAUGGAAUAAAAAAAACGAAAAUAGAUCAUCGGUGUUUACCCUCCCAGCGUACACACACAUACACACAUACACCCCUGUGUGCACAAGUCCCAUAGACCUAUUUGCUCAAGGACUGUGUCUCUAUUGCUACGGAUGCCACUUGGUUAUGUGUCGCAUUAUCAUUCAGUUCGCACCGGGAGCCUCACGCUAGACAGGCCGUGUCCACUACAGGUUUAUAAUAACAUUAUGCCUAAUAUAAUUAAAGCUUGUACAGCACUUAAUUACUCUUAAUUAAACUUGUAAUGGCUGAAAAGUUGUAUGGAAAACCACCUUAAAAAGAGGCUGAAUCUCUUAUCAGGUCUAUUGAGUAUGAAAGGAUACACGCUUUAAUAUCCAUGAAACAUUUAUUAAAGGCUUUGCUGUAACACCUCUUGCCACAGGGGCUACUUCAAAAGUGAGUGGACAUAAAGGUUUGAUAGGACUCUCUAUGAUUAUCAUGGGUGGGUGAUAUUACAGAGAUGCCAUAUUGCAAUACUUGAAGAAACUUUUCAUGAUACAUAACAUGCAAAGUAAUGCUGCAUUUAGAAAAUACGCUUUCAGUGGUAUUUUCAAUUAUUGCCAGAGUAAUAACCCCUGAAGAAGCCUGUAAUAUUUCGAGAAAACUGUACUGUGAUGUAAUUUAUCACAAUAUCAAUAUUAUAAUUAUUAAUCAAUGAGCCCACCGGAAGCUAUGAGUUGAGGCAAUAUGUGUAGAAACAGUAACUUUUUAAAUAGCAUUAAAUAGAAUAAAGUAUUAUCUAACAACAAUUUCAUCUAUACAAGGUACUAUAAUCUUCAUUUUCUUUACUUUAUUAAUUUAUCAAGUGGUAUGCACUGUUGUUACAGCAGUGCUAAAAUUCUUCUUCAUUCAGUUUUAUAGAAUAAUGUACUGUUAUACAAUCAGCAGCCAGUUUAAUAGGAACACCUGUACAUCUGCUCAUUCAUGCAAUUAUCCAAUUGCCAAUUAUAUGGCAGCAGUGUGAUGCAUAAAUUCAUGCAGAUACAGGUCAGGAGCUUCAGUUAAUGUUCUUGUCAAACAUCAGAAAAUGUUGACAUCAGCUGGUCUUUUUCCAGUCUUUAGUUGUCCAGUUUCGGAGAGUCUGUGGCCAUUGUAGCAGCAGAUUCCUGUUCUUGGCUGACAGGAGUGGACCCAAUGUAGAUUCCUGCUGUUGUAGCCCACUUUUAGGUGUUGUGCAUUCUGAGAUGCUUUUCUGCUCAUCAUGGUUGUAAAGAGUGGUUAUUUGAGUUACCAUAGUCCUCCUGUUAGCUCAAACCAUGUAUUUACUUGUCUGAUCAACAAAGCAUUUUGGCCCACAGAACUGCCACUAACUGGAUAUAUAUUUGCACAAUUCUUGGUAAACUCUAGAGAUGAUUGCACAUGAAAUUCCCAGGAGAUCACCAGUUUCUGAAAUACUCAAACCAGCCCAUAUGGGACCAACAACCAUACCAUGGUCAAAGUAACUGAGAUCACAUUUUCCCUCCAUUCUUAAUGUUUGAUGUUGUCCUGUAUCUGCAUGAUUUUAUGCAUUGUGCUGCUGCCUGACAAUUGGCUCAUCAGAUAAUUGCAUGAAUGAGCAGGUGUACAGGUGUUCUGGUAAGUGGAUUUUCUUAACUGACCAUGGACAAGCAAUGCAGAUGACUAGAUAGCACUAUAUUCAGUUUCAUGCUAAAAUAGUCUUGCCGUUUCUAGUCCAAGAGUUUAUUUUAGCUCCCAGUCUCAGUUCUGGUCACUUGGUCACAUGGUCAGAUCUCUUCAUUCAGGAGGGCUGUGAUCAGAUACCAUUUAUUUUUAAUGUGCCUUCUGCUGUCUUUCCUGGAUUGAUACCGAACUUCAGGCAGGCAGACCAACAGGACAAAACGUCUCAGAAAAUGAACAGACUGUCCUGCUUCAAAACCUGUGCGUCCACAACCAGCUGACACAAACACUCACUCCGUUGUAGCCACAUUGACACAUUUCUCAAAAAAUAGCAGUCUUCCACAUACAUAGCACAAGUGCUGGACCAUGUCACCAAGGAUCUGUUUUUUCAAACAUUUCCCAAAAAAAUUCAGAAAUGUAUUUUCCCAAAAGAAACUAAAUUAGACAGUAACGUAACAACAUUAUAGUGCUUGAUCAGGUUGAAAUAUGAAAUUUUGCUAUUACGUCUUUUUGAAGUGUAAGAAUACAAAUUCAGCUCCUUGUUAUGUUGAUCAUUAUAUUCAAGGGCGCCAAGCUGAAACCCAUGCUGGUAUCCAACCUCUGAAACAGUAAAACCCCAUUCCCAAUAAGCAGUACUUAUUUAAUUGCUCUGGUAAUAUAUGUCUCCUGUGCCUCCUUUAUUUUAUGGGUUUGAUUCAUAAGUGUGUGGAGGAGAAUUAGUAUGCCGCCAACCGCCUGUUUUAAAUAACAGUCUGGGAGGCAGGGGGGGUUUAACCAGUUUCCCCCAGCCAUGCUCCCGGUUCCUAAUGGGACAUCAGGCGCGACAGGCUCAACUGAGGCCUUGCAACCUCCCCUCCUCUUUGAAAAAAUGCCCAUCACCCCUUCUUGGUGGGUAGACGCACCCUUUAGAAGCCCCCUUCUGCUUAUUGAGAGGGUCUCAGACAGGGUGCAAACCCCCACCCUCUUUUCCUCAACCAAAGACUGCAUACAUUAAACUGAUCUCCUGAUGCAGCGUCUCAGUUUGAGUCUGAAUCUACUAAGUUUUUAAUUUCAGCACCAAUCUAAGAUGACAUCCAUAUUUCCUAAAAUAAGCAUUUCUUCUUAUUAAUGGAAGGCAGUAAGCACAAAAUAAAUCCCACCAGGAUACAAUAAAAUAUCAGAGUUGGUCAAUUUGGGACAUGUUUUAUACUAAAACAGCUACAAAUCAUUUCUCAGUUGUAAACAUUUUCUUGUAUUAACUGUGUAAAUAUUCUAUAUUGCACUGUGAUAAAAUGGAAAGUUAUUGGUUAGUGAACACAACACGGUGCAUUAACGGUGAAUUAACUCUUACAGAUAGACCCAAUUAAACAAUAGAUCAGUCACUUCAACAUCUCCUUGGUAGGAAGCUCUGCUGCCUUACAGGCUCUCCAUACCUAAAUAUAGCCUAGCUCACUUUUUAUUUUUGAAUGGUUCACGCAUUUUAUAAUGCUUCGUCCACACUUCGUCAUCAGAUACCAUUCUGUUCUGGUCUAGGAUGCUUGUGUUUAUGAAUAUUGCAGGCUGUGUGAUGCUUCUCAUGCUUUUGUAACUAAAAUAAGGACAUGUUAAAAUAUUUCUUGUUUUCUUGUUGUUUAAAGCUGUGAAUUUUGUUACUGUAUUGUGCUGACCUUCUCCUUGUGACUCCAUGGCUGCAGUUGACUGUAUUUUAGAGCAAACCCCUUUUUGAUUGGUUCUAUGAUUUGUACUGCCACUAUAUUUGAUCUUCUUGAAAUAAUGGAUCUACUGAGUGCAUACUCACUCACACACACACACACACACACACACACACACACACACACGGUGCUCACUCCAUAUCACAGAAGUUGUAUUUGAUUUUAAUCAUAUUGCUGCGCACAUGCAUGACUAUGCACUGUGACGAAGCAGACACGAGCCUGCGGUGCUAAGUGCUGAUGUGCUGAUGAAUAAGCAGCCACGGUCAUUCCCUGUCUGCUUUCCAGUCCCCAGAGGAAACAUUAAGGGCCCUAGACUGGAACCAGAAGUCCCUCCAUCCCCCUACUCAUCCCUUCCAUACGGUAGAGCCUGGGGUCAAACCCAGUGCCCAGACAGUCUUACCCCUGACCCCUGUCUGGCUCUAGGCUCAGGGUCAACCCACACAGCUGAUAAACUCUGCUUCCCCGCCCCUCGACCUAUUUGCUUGUAAACACGCACACAUCCGCAUCCGCUUGCAUUUUGGCGUGGCGGUGGCUAUAGACACGCACAUAUAGCAUCAUUUGAGGCUCCCAAGUAUCCAUGUUAAUCAGUCGGCUCCCUGCCCCCACCUUUCUCUGCAUUGUAGCCACACCUCAUCCACACACACACACACACACACACACACACACACACGCACACACACGCACACACACACACACACGAGCAUAUUAAUAAGAAUUCAAUACAUUAUACAAUAUAUACAUAACAGUGAAUAUAAUAUAAUCUCUAUAUAUUCCCAUUGCUCAUUACCUCAGUGGAAGCAUCUUGCUAAUUUUUUUAAAUCAUUUUGUUAGCAAUGUUUUACUUCUAAUGUCCUCAAACACAAUUCAAAGCUGUACUAGAGAUGCAUGGAGAGAAAUUAGGAAAGAGGAAUGAGGAAAGAAUGCUUUGGAUAAUGAAAAAACACGCCGUCACCUAACCUUAACCUAUUCGAGUUACACAAUGGAUAUUGAUAUUCAUUGUUUUAUACGCGCACAUGCAGUGUAUUGCAACAUAUACAGUAUUAUUAUUAGUUGUAUGUCGAUAUAGUAAUAUAUGUAAAGAAUAAAACACUUCAGAGUGUGCUAUUAUAGGAUGUUAAUCAACAGUGGACUCCCCAAACAUGAUUAACAGCAUGACAUGUUUUAUUCAUCUUAUACCAUAUCAAAAUUUGCUAAUACUAAAAAAUAUUUAUUGAAGAACUAGACAUUAGGUGUAUAGUAACAUGUUAUUACGAUAGAAACAAUAACAUGUUAGAACAAGCAUAUUAAUAUAAACAUUAUAGCUGGAAGUACUGUCAGAGGUACUGUUAUAAAAAAUUUUAUCAACAGCUUGUGACAAAUCAGAUUUGAGAAUUCAUCAAUACUAAUAUAGAUCUUAUAUAUACAUAAAUAUGCAUGUAUUUGCUGAUGUAUAUAGACAGUGUUUUACAACGACACAUAUUGUAUGUUUUAAUUUUGUCUUUUCAGGAGUUAUGAGUGUUGUUCAGAGCCGCUCCCUGGAUGGUGUGUUUCAGAUCUGUAGCCCUGACCCAGUGCAGGAUGAAAACCAUGACGUCAAUGAUAUUUUACUGUCAAUGACUGCUUAAAGAAUUUAGCUUUUGCCCCUUUAAUACUGGUGAGUAUUUCAAUAAGGUAAGUUUCUGAUCAUAAUUUAACAGCAUAAAUAAAAAAAAUGCUGUGAUACUGCAUUCAUAUAAACUUUUCUGUUUGUUUGUUUGUUUGUUUAUUGGCACCUAGAGUAUAAAAAUAAACUUUGGGUUGCAGGUUUCUCAUCUAAAAAAUGUUUUUCGCUCUUUUUUUUUUUUUUUUACUAUAUUGUAACAUUUUUUUCAGUUGCAACAAGUACAUUUUUCCCAUUGGUAUGGUUUUGAUUGUAUCUAACCUGUAUGAUGUAUAGCACACUAUGGAAAUCUGAAACAUUUAUACACUUAAUAGAGUACUAUACAGCUACAGAUGACGAUAUCAUUUGCAGGCAUAUUUGCAUUUUUAAGAACAAACAUACAAGACGAAAAAGCACAACCUGCUCGUACAAAGCAUGAUAUCCUUAUAGCCAUACGUUAAUUAUAGCAUAAUCUCUGAUAUUUCUUGAAGCUGUAUACUAUUGUAUGAAUACUGUAAUAAUAAAUGAAUUAUGCAGAAUGAAUGAACAAUAAAAGUGAAACCUGAAUUUUUUCUGUGUUGUGUGUGUUUUUUAACUUACGUUUGUCCAAUACAAUAUAAAACUGUUUCUCAUUAUUAUUGACGGGGAUACAUAAAUAAAUGUUUAUUUCCAUGGGUAAACAAAUUAAUAUACACUACCGAUGAAAAGUUUAGACACACUCAUUCUUUAUUUUAAUUUGAAUUUUUCCACAUUUUAAAAUAAUAAUAAAGUCAUCAAAACUCUGGAGUAACACAAAUAGGAACUAUGGGAAUUAUGUUGUGAUAAAAAUAGAAUAAAUACAAAUAAUUUAAUAUUUGAGCAUCUUUAAAGAUGCCCUUUUUGCCUAGAAUCUCCAGAAAUGUAUUCUUGGCAUUUUCUCAACCGAUUUCUUGAGGAAUUUCCCAGAGAUGCGUUUUAACCAGUAUUAAAGGAGUUCACACCUACGCUGGACACUUAUUGGCUGCUUUCCGGAAUAUUUCGCUCCAAGUCAUCCAUUUAAACAAAAUAUAAUUUGUAAAUAAAAUGUUAGUUUUCUAAUGAAAGAAAUUAAUAUGUUGGCACAAUUAUAAUGUUGUCUACAACACCGAUUUCAAACAUUUAAUCAUACCUUCCGAUCAAAAGGUUUGUAAGCUCAUGAGAAACAUUUAAGUCAAGUGUCUUGAAACUUUUGACUUGUAGUGUAUUUUGCUUAAUUAAUGAUUUUGAUGUUUGUGUCUGUUUCUGCAUAACAUUACAGGCUCAUUAAUAUACAAAUGCAUUCAAAAGACAUUAUUAAGAUUUCAGUGCAUUUUUAAAGGAGAUUUUAAAAUGUUUUAUUUUAUGUGAAAUGUUUUGUCCUGUUUGAAAUUUUUACGAAUUAGAAAAUAUAUAUUUAUGCAUAAACCUAUGUAGGUUUGAUGACGUUUUGUGUAUAGAUGAAUCGUAUAAAAGAAAAUCAUAAUGCACUAAAGGACUGAUGUGCACCAAGUGUAAUGUUUUUUAAAUAAAGAGUUCUCAAGCUGACACAUUUGUACAAAGUAGCUGGACAUGAAGAUACACACACACAUACACACACACACACACACACACACACACACACACACACACACACACACACACACCCCCUUCUGACCUGUUUCAGUGGCAAUCGUGCUUUCUACGGUGUUUCCUCUACAGAAGCUGCCUCGGUGCCCUGCAGCACACACUCCAAUGCUCACACUCAAACCUGCCCCUUGUGUCCAAACCCCCCCACAUCCACUCUCAACCUGUGUCUCGCUAACACAUCCUGACCCAGGAGCGUGGCUCUGGCCUGAAAACAUGGAGCAGGAGAGAUUAUCCUCCGCGGGCCUGGGUCAGUGGAGAGUGGAGGGGAGUUUGGGCCACCCACGGAGCGUCCAGUGGGCCGUGAGAUGGCCUGAUACACGUGCUUACCAAGCAUGGGAGAUUCUCUUACUCUCAGCAGCAUAAAGCCACACAGCACUGGCCUUUUCUUCAUCAUGGCCCGGGAGAUUAGGGCUGAAACACUCAGCCCACAAUCACACACGCACACACACACCCCUCCCCUAGGUUAUCCUUUGCACAGAUAUGGAGCGCUGAACAGAUCAGUCUGGACACAUCUUUCACUAUUCUUUAGUAAUUCUGCCACAUGGUUUUACUGUCUGCUAGAAGGAAGGGAGGGGCAGGUGAGAAUGUCUCACAUAUUAGCACCAUACUAUUAGCAAGGCUAGCUCACAGUGGUAAUGUCAGGCAACAGAAAGAAGUAUCAUCAUGAUAAUUUGAACCUAUUUUGAAGCUUUUUUUUUCCCCAUUGAUGCAUCUGUAGAAACCUUUUUCUGCUGAUGAACCCCAAAUAAGAAUCACAAGCUCACCAAAAAUGACUAAUGAUAACAUCACAAAGUUUGCCCCCCCCCCCCCCCCCAUAAGAGCAUUUCUUCUUCUCUUAAUAAUUAUAAUCACACAAUUAUUAUGUUAGACAAUUAUUUUAUCAUGACAUAUUCCUUAAAUGCAUAUUUGUGAGAUCCCAGACAUGGUUUAAACUGGAUAAUAUGUCACAUAACCUGACAUCUAGAGGUACAAUUCUUUCAUUUAAGCACGUUAUGAGAGAAAAUAACAAGAAGAAGUGUGUAAUAUUAGAGUGGGGUUAUAUAAUAGUGUCUGAACAUUAAGCUUAUGAAAUCAAUUUGUUCCUGUUUAUUCAGUCUAAAAUUUUGACUUAAAUAUAUAUCAAUAAAAUGCAAUAAAUAAAGUUUCAUGGUUGCACUUACAGAAAUGCAGUUGUUUAAAGAGAAGGUAAAUUUCCAUCUCUGCUGAAAAUGCACUGAUGACUUAAUAUAGCAACAAUAAAGCAGAUAAAAUGUUUAUUUUUAAAACAUAAUGAAAAUCAAAAAUAUUGGCAUUAUAUCUUGCCAUUUUUACAAUUGUCUCAUAUUCACAAAUGAUAGACUGACCAGCAGGAUAAACAUUUUCUUGUUUAUUUUCCUGGGUGAUGUAGACAUUCAAAUGAAUAGAAAAUAUUGUUGACCAUCUUGAGGACAUUAUUCAUGACGGGUUUUCAUUCUGGAGAGAAAGAAAUGGCUAAGGGCAAAUUGUUGUUUUUGGACUUUUUGCACCAUGAAGUCAAAAUGUAACAUGAAUAUGAUUUUAAACAUAUCCAUGAAAUUAUGAAGCAUUAAUCCCACAGUGUAUUUGAAAAAAGAAAGAAAGAAAAAAAAAGGUCACUGGAUAUAUUAUAGUGGUCUGAAACAGAAAGUUUUACAUAUUUAAGAAGUUUGAUUAUCUGAAGCAUUAUGCUAAUGUUUCAUUCAUUAUUGAAGUCUAAAGAUGACAGGUGUAGAUAUAAACAUAGUCUAUUUUUUUUAACUUAAAUAAUUCUAGAAAUAAAAAAAAUGAAGUUCAAAUGUGUGUGAUUUUGAUAUUUUUUAAUCUUAAACUUUUAAUCUUUAUAUGGUAUUUCUAUAUGAUAGUUAACAUCAAUAUAUGAAUAUGAAUUUUAACAUCAACCAUACAAACAAACAAACAAACAACAACAGCAGCAGCAGCAAUAAUAAUAAUAAUAAUAAUAAUAAUAAUAAUAAUAAUAAUAAUAA